AGAGUUUGAUCCUGGCUCAGAACGAACGCUGACGGCGUGCUUAACACAUGCAAGUCGAACGUGAUCCAGAGCUUGCUCUGGUGAAAGUGGCGCACGGGUGAGUAACGCGUGGAUAACCUGCCCUGGUAUCUGGGAUAACAUCUCGAAAGGGGUGCUAAUACCGGAUAAGCCUACGGACUCCUCGGAGUCUGCAGGAAAAGGAGGCCUCUAUUUAUAAGCUUCCGUAUCAUGAUGGGUCCGCGUACCAUUAGCUAGUUGGUGGGGUAAUGGCCUACCAAGGCGACGAUGGUUAGCUGGUCUGAGAGGAUGAUCAGCCACACUGGAACUGAGACACGGUCCAGACUCCUACGGGAGGCAGCAGUGGGGAAUUUUGCGCAAUGGGGGAAACCCUGACGCAGCAACGCCGCGUGAGUGAUGAAGGCUUUCGGGUCGUAAAGCUCUGUCAGAGGGGAAGAAAUGAAACGUGCUAAUAUCACGUUUUCUUGACGGUACCCUCAAAGGAAGCACCGGCUAACUCCGUGCCAGCAGCCGCGGUAAUAC
rnacentral:rRNA from 2 species